GAAUUAUUUCUCCUGAAGGGUCUUUGCUGCCUUUCCCCCUUCAAACCUGCAUUCUGGGCCAGGAGUCAGUAAAUGUCACAUGAAAUGGGCUGAUUAACUGACUACAUGCACAGCAGAAACAAAGCAACAGUAGGAAAAACAUCCUUCAACAGAAGGAAUGAUUUCAUCUUGAAGGCUAGAGCGAGUGCAUGAUUAAAGACAAAAAUACUGUUUCAGCCAUUCGCGGCUGAAGACGAGGACCUGGAUGGAGAAUUAAAGCAGAAACUCAAUUGUUUCAAGAGGGCACAGCUGCUUUCUGCUUCCAAGACAGGUCUCCAGAGAAGACUACAAAAUAAGUGAUCCAAACCCCAUUUAGGAGUCCGAUCCUUCUCCAAGGACUGGUCUGUCACCACCACCACUGCCCUUGAGUCCGCCCAUAGACACCAAAGGGACACAGACAUACCAGGACGAGGUUCAACCUGGAAGAAAUGUGGCAGUAGGGGAAACGACAAAGCUGUAUGCUCUACCUCCCUGCUCUUGGACCAAGACUUCGGUAGAAUAACAUCCACCUUUUUGUUUGAAGAAUAAAGAUGCAUCCAACUCUGGAGUCAAAAGGUUAAGCGCACGCUCUGUGUAGUUGAUAGAGAAAUCAGUGCUUGAAAUGCAAGAUGUCCCCAUGGAGCAUAGCUUAGCAAGCCCACGAGUCACAAAUCUAACAAGGGCCAAACUCAGAACGAUUCUCCAACAAAACCACAAAUCAAAGCAGAAUCAGACUUUGAGAAACCAAGGAGAACCCCCAAGAGCACCCAGCACCUUCCCUUUUUUUUUUUUGACAAGGAAAAAACACAAAAAUGUGACAACUCUUCUGGGGAGAACUUUUUAUGGAAAUUUAAGUUAAAAUUUUGGUUCAAUUUAUCUUAGGAUGCCUGGGGCCAGUGAAGAUCAACAUUCUGCAUUCACUUCCAAGUUGUGCAUGACAAACCCACAGUGCCAACACUGCCUCCAAACAGUUCCUAAUCUGAAAACAAACAAAACAACAAACCAGAGAAAAGGAACUUCUGUUUGAGUUCAGCGGUUUUCAGUUGUUAUCCUUUGGAGAGAAGUGGAUGAAGACACAAAGUGAAAUCCCCAGUUUGCAGGUGCCUUUGGCUGCAGCUGAGCCUCCCUUGUCCACAGAUCAUACGCAUGUUGGCCAGGUACAGGGAGGGCAGGGUAUGCUUGUUGCAGGAGGGCCCUUGAUCCAAGUACCCAGAGGACAUGUCCGCACUUCUUUGUGCUGCAUAGCAGCCACUUCUAGAGACAAGUUAGAAGCCCUUCCCGUUCUAACUCAGUGGAUCUCAAGCCACGCUGUGCUUCUGGUGUGGAGAAGGCAAAGUUCCAGAGGCACCAAGGACAGGAGAUGGUAAGGAGUGGAACAGAUAGCCAUUUUUCAAGGUUCCUAAACAACCUGAGAACAGCAGCUGAGACCACAGAACCUGGACAGGCAGAUGGUUUUCCCCUCGCUGGAGGCCUGAAAGGCUCACCUGUCAAGUGGAUUCUGAUGCCAGGCUUAUUAUUAACCUCUGUGACACAUAUCUACAGAUGGCCAAGUCCAAGCUUCUCAUCCAGGUGUGAGUCUGGGGACCUUGCUUCCCAGGAUACUCCCUUUUCUCUCUUACCACUACAUCCCACCUAUGGGACACCAGUGUCUGACAUACAGGACAGGGAAUGGUUCUCUAAUGUACCCAUUCCUUUUAGCAUUUCCAUGUUCUGAUUUUGUUUGCAUCACUUGGUCUUUUUCUGCUUGGAAUGACUUCAUUCCUUCUUUUGAGUUUAGUGAUGUUUCCUGGGUUUAGAAUGCUCCUCAUUUAUGUUACAAUGAAAUGAGCCUGAAUCCCAGAUCUCGAGGUGUGUCAUCCAAUAUGGAAGUCACGAAAAGGAUGCAUCAUUGAAAUCCAAACAUUACCCUACUUUUGGGGUCAAAGAAGUUUUCUUUCCUACUAGAAA